rnacentral:rRNA from 1 species
AUUGAACGCUGGCGGCAUGCCUUACACAUGCAAGUCGAACGGUAACAGGCCGCAAGGUGCUGACGAGUGGCGAACGGGUGAGUAAUGCAUCGGAACGUGCCCAGUCGUGGGGGAUAACUGCUCGAAAGAGCAGCUAAUACCGCAUACGACCUGAGGGUGAAAGCGGGGGACCGUAAGGCCUCGCGCGAUUGGAGCGGCCGAUGUCAGAUUAGCUAGUUGGUGGGGUAAAGGCUCACCAAGCCAACGAUCUGUAGCUGGUCUGAGAGGACGACCAGCCACACUGGGACUGAGACACGGCCCAGACUCCUACGGGAGGCAGCAGUGGGGAAUUUUGGACAAUGGGGGCAACCCUAAUCCAGCCAUGCCGCGUGAGUGAAGAAGGCCUUCGGGUUGUAAAGCUCUUUCGGCCGGGAAGAAAUCGCACAGGCUAAUACUCUGUGUGGAUGACGGUACCGGCAUAAGAAGCACCGGCUAACUACGUGCCAGCCGCCGCAGUAAAAC